rnacentral:rRNA from 1 species
GAUGAACGCUGGCGGUAUGCUUUACACAUGCAAGUCGUACGAGAGUUUUGAACUCAAGUGGCGGACGGGUGAGUUACACGUAAGAAUUUGCCUUUAGGAGGGGGACAACAACUGGAAACGGUUGCUAAUACCCCAUAUGCUUUCGAGUGAAACGGUUUUUCCGCCUAAAGAGAAGCUUGCGGCUGAUUAGCUUGUUGGUAAGGUAAUGGCUUACCAAGGCGACGAUCAGUAUCUGGUUUGAGAGGACGAUCAGACACACUGGAACUGAGACACGGUCCAGACUCCUACGGGAGGCAGCAGUGGGGAAUUUUCCGCAAUGGGCGAAAGCCUGACGGAGCAAUACCGCGUGAGGGAUGAAUGCCUAUGGGUUGUAAACCUCUUUUUUCAGGGAGGAAUCAAUGACGUUACCUGAAGAAUAAGCAUCGGCUAACUCCGUGCCAGCAGCCGCGGUAAGACGGAGGAUGCAAGUGUUAUCCGGAAUCACUGGGCGUAAAGCGUCUGUAGGUGGUUUGAUAAGUCAACUGUUAAAUCUUGAGGCUCAACCUCAAAACCGCAGUCGAAACUAUUAGAC